UACGUAGGGGGCAAGCGUUGUCCGGAAUUAUUGGGCGUAAAGCGCGUGUAGGCGGUUCGAUAAGUCUGCUGUAAAAGUCAGGGGCUCAACCCUUGAAAGCCGGUGGAUACUGUCGAACUAGAGUACGGAAGAGGCGAGUGGAAUUCCUGGUGUAGCGGUGAAAUGCGCAGAUAUCAGGAGGAACACCUAUUGCGAAGGCAGCUCGCUGGGACGUUACUGACGCUGAGACGCGAAAGCGUGGGGAGCAAACAGG
rnacentral:rRNA from 1 species